rnacentral:rRNA from 1 species
CAAAAGUGAAAGACGGUCUUGCUGUCACUUAUAGAUGGAUCCGCGCUGCAUUAGCUAGUUGGUAAGGUAACGGCUUACCAAGGCAACGAUGCAUAGCCGACCUGAGAGGGUGAUCGGCCACACUGGAACUGAGACACGGUCCAGACUCCUACGGGAGGCAGCAGUAGGGAAUCUUCCGCAAUGGGCGAAAGCCUGACGGAGCAACGCCGCGUGAGUGAUGAAGGUCUUCGGAUCGUAAAACUCUGUUAUUAGGGAAGAACAUAUGUGUAAGUAACUGUGCACAUCUUGACGGUACCUAAUCAGAAAGCCACGGCUAACUACGUGCCAGCAGCCGCGGUAAUACGUAGGUGGCAAGCGUUAUCCGGAAUUAUUGGGCGUAAAGCGCGCGUAGGCGGUUUUUUAAGUCUGAUGUGAAAGCCCACGGCUCAACCGUGGAGGGUCAUUGGAAACUGGAAAACUUGAGUGCAGAAGAGGAAAGUGGAAUUCCAUGUGUAGCGGUGAAAUGCGCAGAGAUAUGGAGGAACACCAGUGGCGAAGGCGACUUUCUGGUCUGUAACUGACGCUGAUGUGCGAAAGCGUGGGGAUCAAACAGGAUUAGAUACCCUGGUAGUCCACGCCGUAAACGAUGAGUGCUAAGUGUUAGGGGGUUUCCGCCCCUUAGUGCUGCAGCUAACGCAUUAAGCACUCCGCCUGGGGAGUACGACCGCAAGGUUGAAACUCAAAGGAAUUGACGGGGACCCGCACAAGCGGUGGAGCAUGUGGUUUAAUUCGAAGCAACGCGAAGAACCUUACCAAAUCUUGACAUCCUUUGACAACUCUAGAGAUAGAGCNUUCCCCUUCGGGGGACAAAGUGACAGGUGGUGCAUGGUUGUCGUCAGCUCGUGUCGUGAGAUGUUGGGUUAAGUCCCGCAACGAGCGCAACCCUUAAGCUUAGUUGCCAUCAUUAAGUUGGGCACUCUAAGUUGACUGCCGGUGACAAACCGGAGGAAGGUGGGGAUGACGUCAAAUCAUCAUGCCCCUUAUGAUUUGGGCUACACACGUGCUACAAUGGACAAUACAAAGGGCAGCGAAACCGCGAGGUCAAGCAAAUCCCAUAAAGUUGUUCUCAGUUCGGAUUGUAGUCUGCAACUCGACUACAUGAAGCUGGAAUCGCUAGUAAUCGUAGAUCAGCAUGCUACGGUGAAUACGUUCCCGGGUCUUGUACACACCGCCCGUCACACCACGAGAGUUUGUAACACCCGAAGCCGGUGGAGUAACCUUUUAGGAGCUAGCCGUCGAAGGUGGGACAAAUGAUUGGGGUGAAGUCGUAACAAGGUAGCCGUAUCGGAAGGUGCGGCUGGAUCACCU